rnacentral:rRNA from 1 species
GACGAACGCUGGCGGCGUGCUUAACACAUGCAAGUCGAACGGAAAGGCUCCAGCUUGUUGGAGUACUCGAGUGGCGAACGGGUGAGUAACACGUGGGUAAUCUGCCCUGCACUCUGGGAUAAGCCUGGGAAACUGGGUCUAAUACUGGAUAUGACCUUUCUCCUUAUGGGGUUUGGUGGAAAGUUUUUCGGUGUAGGAUGAGCCCGCGGCCUAUCAGCUUGUUGGUGGGGUGAUGGCCUACCAAGGCGACGACGGGUAGCCGGCCUGAGAGGGUGAUCGGCCACAUUGGGACUGAGAUACGGCCCAGACUCCUACGGGAGGCAGCAGUGGGGAAUAUUGCACAAUGGGCGGAAGCCUGAUGCAGCGACGCCGCGUGAGGGAUGACGGCCUUCGGGUUGUAAACCUCUUUCAGCAGGGACGAAGCGUAAGUGACGGUACCUGCAGAAGAAGCACCGGCUAACUAUGUG